rnacentral:rRNA from 1 species
GACGAACGCAGGCGGCGUGCUUAACACAUGCAAGUCGAGCGGUAAGGCCCUUCGGGGUACACGAGCAGCGAACGGGUGAGUAACACGUGAGCAAUCUGCCCUUCACUUGGGGAUAACCACCGGAAACGGUGGCUAAUACCGAAUAUGACCGUCCCGGGCAUCCGGGGUGGUGGAAAGUUCCGGCGGUGGGGGAUGAGCUCGCGGCCUAUCAGCUUGUUGGUGGGGUGAUGGCCUACCAAGGCGACGACGGGUAGCCGGCCUGAGAGGGUGACCGGCCACACUGGGACUGAGACACGGCCCAGACUCCUACGGGAGGCAGCAGUGGGGAAUAUUGCACAAUGGGCGCAAGCCUGAUGCAGCGACGCCGCGUGAGGGAUGACGGCCUUCGGGUUGUAAACCUCUUUCAGCACAGACGAAGCGCAAGUGACGGUAUGUGCAGAAGAAGGACCGGCCAACUACGUGCCAGCCGCCGCAGUAAGAC